rnacentral:tRNA from 1 species
ACCUGGGUGGCUCAGUCGGUUGAGUGUCUGACUUCGGCUCAGGUCAUGAUCUCACAGCUUGUGGGUUUGAGCCCCACCUUGGGCU